GGGAGAUCCCCGUCCCUGCCGGGCGGGGGGAUUAAAGAGCGCUGCGGGAAUAAAUAAAUGACGGCGUGGGGAUGCAUCUAUCUAACUUAAAAAGGAGCUUGCUGAUGGAGGAAUAAAAGGUAUUUCAGUGGUCCCCCUAUCUCAGCUCUGAGUGCCUAAACCCCUGAGGUGGUAAUUACAAGACGAUAGCUCCAAUUCUGAGGGAUGCAGAUGAUUUGUCAGGCUGAGAACAGAAAAUUGGAGGAGGAUAAAGUUGGCAGAGACUGACAGAAGAAAUAAUUUAACACAGAGGCAGAUUUUGUAGAAGAGGCUGGAAGAAUCUGGCUCAUCCUCUCUGCAGCAAUGGACUGGGCUUCCAGUUGGCAAGAACCAGUUGCUACCAGUAGCUGUCACUGGGAUGUGUCCUUGAAGCCCCAAGUUUAAAAUUCCAGGACUUGAUGUCUAAAAGGCAAAAGAUGUUGCUAUUUAUAAAACGGCUUCUGUGAGGGAAAAUGAAGCGUGAAUUAUGGCUACACAGAGAUCUGUGUAAAAAAGUAGUCUGUACAAGGAAAAAGCCCUCUUAA